GACGAAGGGGGCUAGCGUUGUUCGGAAUUACUGGGCGUAAAGCGUGCGCAGGCGGUUAUGUAAGACAGAUGUGAAAUCCCCGGGCUCAACCUGGGAACUGCAUUUGUGACUGCAUAGCUAGAGUACGGUAGAGGGGGAUGGAAUUCCGCGUGUAGCAGUGAAGUGCGUAGAUAUGCGGAGGAACACCGAUGGCGAAGGCAAUCCCCUGGACCUGUACUGACGCUCAUGCACGAAAGCGUGGGGAGCAAACAGG
rnacentral:rRNA from 1 species